CCCUCCCACCGCUAUUUUCCUCCCUCCCCCGCCCCCUUUUCGUUUCCGGCUCUCCCGCCUUCUCCGCAAAACGACUGCUCAUUGAGGCUAUUGGGGAGGGGGCGGGGAGGAAAAGUGGGCGUGGAGGAAUUGGGGUUCCCGGGAGCACGAGCCGCAGCACCACUUCCGGUGCAUGCCCGCGCGCCCGGCCUCGCGUCCCCUGUCCCGCGCCCUGCGAGCCCUCCCACUCCCUCGGCUCCUUCCUUUCCCAGUGAACGCCGCCCCUCCCGCGCGCUGGCUCUGGCGCUGGCGCCGGCGCCGUCGCCGCCGCCUGAAAGUUCAGGAGCCCUGGAAAGGAGAAGGAAUAAGACGACAGGAGGAAGAGAGAGAGAGGGGAGAAUGGAAGAGUCUCACUUCAAUUCUAACCCGUACUUCUGGCCUUCUAUCCCCACGGUCUCAGGGCAGAUUGAAAACACUAUGUUCAUCAACAAGAUGAAGGAUCAGCUGUUGCCAGAGAAGGGCUGUGGACUGGCACCACCUCACUAUCCCACUUUGCUGACAGUGCCUGCCUCAGUGUCCCUGUCCUCUGGCAUCAGCAUGGACACAGAGUCCAAGUCAGAACAGCUGACCCCACACAGUCAGGCAUCUGUUACC
rnacentral:lncRNA from 1 species